rnacentral:lncRNA from 1 species
UUCCACUUUCUAGACAACGAAAUGUUGGAAGUUGUUGAGUUCUUGAUAGUCGAGUACGACAGCCACUGGAAAGAAGACCUGAACAAUUUAGAGGGUUAUGGAGUUAUUAGUACAUUUGAACACAUCGAUGCAGGGGUGGAAUUUUUUGCCAUUUUUUAUUUGCAUCAUACCAAUUUUGUGUCAUUUUUUCUGUUUCAAACGGUAAUGAUACUGUAAUUAUACCAAAACCAAAGAUAUUUGGUAUUGUAUUAAUAUCCAAAACCAAUACAAACGAUAUUACCGUACCAAAUACAUAUAUAUAUAUAUAUAUGUAUGUAUUAUAUUUAAUAAUUAUAUGUAAAUUUACGUAAUACUAAUUCCUAACAUUUAUCUUUAAUAUAUUUCAUUUAAUUUGCAACUUGAAGUCUUUAGCUUCUAUUCGAUUUGAUUUGUAACCCAUAUUUAUCUUUUAUUCUUGAUAUAUUUAUUUAUUUAUUU